GGUGACUAGUGACAGAGGGAGGGAGGGGGUGACACAGUGACAGGGUUAGGGAGGGAGUGACUAGUGACAGAGAGAAGGAUGGGGUGACUCUGUCACCAGUCAUCCCCUCACUCUGUCACUAGUCACCCCUUCCCUCCCUCACUUUGCCAAUAGUCAUCUCUUCCCUCCCUCACUCUGCCACUAGUCACCCAUUCCCUCACUCUGUCACUAGUCACCCCCUCUCCCUCCCUCUGUCACUAGUCACCC